AUUGAACGCUGGCGGCAGGCCUAACACAUGCAAGUCGAGCGGAUGAAGGGAGCUUGCUCCUGGAUUCAGCGGCGGACGGGUGAGUAAUGCCUAGGAAUCUGCCUGGUAGUGGGGGAUAACGUCCGGAAACGGGCGCUAAUACCGCAUACGUCCUGAGGGAGAAAGUGGGGGAUCUUCGGACCUCACGCUAUCAGAUGAGCCUAGGUCGGAUUAGCUAGUUGGUGGGGUAAAGGCCUACCAAGGCGACGAUCCGUAACUGGUCUGAGAGGAUGAUCAGUCACACUGGAACUGGGACACGGUCCAGACUCCUACGGGAGGCAGCAGUGGGGAAUAUUAGACAAUGGGCGAAAGCCUGAUCCAGCCAUGCCGCGUGUGUGAAGAAGGUCUUCGGAUUGUAAAGCACUUUAAGUUGGGAGGAAGGGCAGUAAGUUAAUACCUUGCUGUUUUGACGUUACCAACAGAAUAAGCACCGGCUAACUUCGUG
rnacentral:rRNA from 1 species